CCUACGGGAGGCAGCAGUGGGGAAUAUUGGACAAUGGGGGCAACCCUGAUCCAGCCAUGCCGCGUGUGUGAAGAAGGCCCUCGGGUUGUAAAGCACUUUCAGUGAGGAAGAACGCCUGGUGGUUAAUACCCAUCAGGAAAGACAUCACUCACAGAAGAAGCACCGGCUAACUCCGUGCCAGCAGCCGCGGUAAUACGGAGGGUGCGAGCGUUAAUCGGAAUUACUGGGCGUAAAGCGCGCGUAGGUGGCUUGAUAAGCCGGUUGUGAAAGCCCCGGGCUCAACCUGGGAACGGCAUCCGGAACUGUCAAGCUAGAGAGCAGGAGAGGAAGGUAGAAUUCCCGGUGUAGCGGUGAAAUGCGUAGAGAUCGGGAGGAAUACCAGUGGCGAAGGCGGCCUUCUGGACUGACACUGACACUGAGGUGCGAAAGCGUGGGUAGCAAACAGGAUUAGAUACCCGAGUAGUC
rnacentral:rRNA from 1 species